rnacentral:rRNA from 1 species
CGUGGGUAACCUGCCUGUAAGACUGGGAUAACUCCGGGAAACCGGGGCUAAUACCGGAUAGUUCUUUUCCUCGCAUGAGGAAAAGUGGAAAGGCGGCUUCGGCUGCCACUUACAGAUGGACCCGCGGCGCAUUAGCUAGUUGGUGAGGUAACGGCUCACCAAGGCAACGAUGCGUAGCCGACCUGAGAGGGUGAUCGGCCACACUGGGACUGAGACACGGCCCAGACUCCUACGGGAGGCAGCAGUGGUCA